UUGAAAGGGAAACGAUUGAAGUCAGUCGUACCAGCGGGAAAUCAACCUUUCGGAGUGGGGGUUUUGGAGUUUUGAAGAGUGUCAAAACCUUUGAGAUUUCAAAAUUUUCGCUCUUUUGGUGUACUUUCUCGUGGGUAGGUUAACAUCGAUUUUGAUCAUCAUAAAAAGAUUGGAGGAAUGUAGCUUCGAUCUUGUAUUGAAGUGUUAUAGCCUUUGGUAAAUGUGAUGAUUAGGAUCGAGGAUUGCAACGAAUACCCUUUUGGGCUAUCCGCCUGAUCUCUGAUACGUGGCCUUGGUAUCGAAAGCGUGCUUAUGGUAUUGAGGUAUUACGGUCAAAAGGUUAGAACGGAUUACAUUCGUUAAGGAUGUUGACGUA
rnacentral:rRNA from 1 species